rnacentral:rRNA from 1 species
GGAAUUUUGGACAAUGGGCGAAAGCCUGAUCCAGCAAUGCCGCGUGCAGGAAGAAGGCCUUCGGGUUGUAAACUGCUUUUGUACGGAACGAAACGGUCCUUGCUAAUAAAGAGGGCUACUGACGGUACCGUAAGAAUAAGCACCGGCGAACUACGACCCAGCAGCCGCGGUAAGACGAAGGAUUCAAGCGUUGUCCGGAUUUACUGGGUUUAAAGGGUGCGUAGGCGGAACUUUAAGUCAGUGGUGAAAGCUCUCGGCUCAACCGAGAAACUGCCAUUGAAACUGAUUUUCUUGAAUACAGUUGAGGUAGAUGGAAUAUAACAUGUAGCGGUGAAAUGCUUAGAUAUGUUAUAGAACACCGAUUGCGAAGGCAGUCUGCUAAGCUGUUAUUGACGCUGAGGCACGAAAGCGUGGGGAGCAAAC